rnacentral:pre_miRNA from 1 species
AAAAAGACAAACCCUAGUUUCCGUGCCCAAUAUUUAACCGUCCGUCUUAUUUAAAAAAUUAUGAAAAAAAAUUAAAAAGACAAAUCACACAUAAAAUAUUAAUCAUGUUUUAUCAUCUAACAACAAUAAAAAUACAAAUUAUAAAAAAAAUUCAUAUAAGACGGACAGUUAAAGUUGGAUACGGAAACUCAAGGUUUGACUUUUU